rnacentral:rRNA from 1 species
AUUGAACGCUGGCGGCAGGCCUAACACAUGCAAGUCGAACGAGUGGCGGACGGGUGAGUAAUGUCUGGGAAACUGCCUGAUGGAGGGGGAUAACUACUGGAAACGGUAGCUAAUACCGCAUACCAUCAGAUGUGCCCAGAUGGGAGUAGCUAGUUGGUGGGGUAAAGGCUCACCAAGGCGACGAUCCCUAGCUGGUCUGAGAGGAUGACCAGCCAAACUGGAACUGAGACACGGGCCAGCGGCCGACGGGAGGCAGGAGUGGGGAAGAGUGCACAAUGGGCGCAAGCCUGAUGCAGCCAGGCCGCGUGUAUGAAGAAGGCCUUCGGGUGGUAAAGUACUUUCAGCGGGGAGGCGUUACCCGCAGAAGAAGCACCGGCUAACUCCGUGCCAGCCGCCGCGGUAAUAC